CUCGUAAUAUAAAUCUUACCUCCACAAAAACAUAACCCUUUUCUCUCGCUUCGCUGCCUCUCUCUCUCUCCCCAUAACUAAAACCUCGCAGCCAUUGUUUCUCCUCCGGAAGCACAAUCAUGGCGAUCGAUCAACAAACACAGAUUCAACUCUCUAUCCUCCUCGGUCCCGAUUCUUCUCACUUCGAAACCCUAAUUUCACACCUCAUGUCAUCUUCAAACGAACAACGUUCCCACGCCGAAUCUCUCUUCAAUCUCUGCAAACAAACACAUCCCGAUUCACUCGCUUUGAAACUCGUUCAAUCUCUCGAUUCAUCUCCCAAUCUCGAGCUUCGUGCUAUGUCCGCUGUUUUGCUACGGAAACAACUCACUCGAACUGGAGAUGACGAUGAUUCCGCUUUUAUCUACCCUCGAAUUGCUGAAUCUACUCGUUUGACUCUUAAAUCUGUUCUCAUCACGUCUUUGCAACAGGAGAGUACUAAAUCUAUAGCUAAGAAGGUUUGUGAUACUAUCUCUGAACUCGCUUCUGCGAUUUUACCGGAGAAUGGAUGGCCGGAGUUACUUCCGUUUAUGUUCCAGUGCGUUGUUGCUGCUGAUAAUCCCAAUCUUCAGGAAUAUGCUUUGUUGAUUUUCUCUAGAUUGGCUCAGUACAUUGGUGAAACGUUGAUUCCUUAUUUGAGUACAUUACAUUCUGUGUUUUCUCAGUCUUUGAGAAAUUCUACAUCUGCUGAUGUUAGAAUUACGGCUUUGGGUGCCGCCAUUAAUUUUAUCCAGUGUUUGUCAAAGGCUUCCGAUAGGGAUAUGUUUCAGGAUUUGUUGCCCUUGAUGAUGCAAACGUUGACAGAGGCGUUGAAUUCCGGGCAAGAAGUAACAGCGCAAGAAGCUUUAGAGCUUCUUAUUGAACUGGCUGGUACUGAACCGAGGUUUUUAAGGAGACAGAUUGUGGAAAUUGUAGGUUCGAUGCUUCAGAUUGCAGAAGCUGAGAGUUUAGAAGAAGGAACGAGGCAUUUGGCAGUAGAAUUUGUUAUUACAUUGGCUGAGGCACGAGAAAGAGCUCCUGGUAUGAUUAGGAAAUUGCCACAGUUCAUUACCAAACUCUUUAGCGUGUUGAUGAACAUGCUUUUGGAUAUUGAGGAUGACCCCGCAUGGCACAGUGCCGAGAAUGAGGAUGAAGAUGCUGGCGAGACCAGUAAUUACGGGUUUGGACAAGAAUGUCUAGACAGACUUGCGAUAUCUUUGGGUGGAAAUACAAUUGUUCCUGUUGCCUCUGAAGUUUUCUCGGGUUUCUUCGCAGCUUCUGAGUGGCAGAAGCACCAUGCUGCUCUCAUUGCUCUUGCCCAAAUCGCUGAAGGCUGCUCAAAGGUUAUGAUAAAAAACCUGGAACAGGUGGUUUCUAUGGUUCUGAACUCUUUUCAGCAUCCCCAUCCUCGUGUCCGAUGGGCAGCAAUUAAUGCAAUCGGACAGUUGUCUACAGACUUAGGACCUGUGUUACAAACUAAAUAUCAUCAGUCUGUGCUGCCUGCACUGGUUGGAGCCAUGGAUGACUUUCAGAACCCUCGAGUCCAGGCCCAUGCUGCUUCCGCUGUUCUUAAUUUCAGUGAGAAUUGCACUCCAGAAAUUUUAACCCCUUAUCUGGAUGGAGUUAUUAGCAAGCUUCUUGUACUGCUUCAGAAUGGAAAACAAAUGGUACAAGAGGGCGCUUUGACUGCUUUGGCCUCAGUUGCUGAUUCUUCACAGGAGCUGUUCCAAAAAUACUAUGAUGCUGUUAUGCCUUACUUGAAAGCUAUUUUGGUAAAUGCCAAUGACAAAGCUAAUCGCAUGCUUCGCGCUAAGUCAAUGGAGUGCAUUAGUUUGGUUGGAAUGGCUGUUGGAAAGGAAAAAUUUAUGGAUGAUGCAAAGCAGGUCAUGGAAGUGCUGAUGUCCUUACAAGGUUCGCAACUGGAAACGGAUGAUCCAACAACAAGCUACAUGUUACAGGCUUGGGCUAGACUCUGCAAAUGCCUUGGAAAAGAUUUUCUCCCUUACAUGGGUGUUGUUAUGCCCCCUUUGCUUCAAUCAGCUCAGCUUAAGCCGGAUGUUAUCAUUUCAUCUGCAGAUUCAGAUGCAGAUAUUGAUGACGAAGAUGAUAGCAUUGAGACCAUCACUCUUGGUGACAAGAGAAUAGGGAUCAAAACUAGUGUGUUAGAGGAGAAAGCUACUGCCUGUAACAUGCUGUGUUGCUAUGCAGAUGAGCUAAAAGAAGGGUUUUUCCCUUGGAUUGAUCAGGUUGCUCCUAUUUUAGUUCCUCUUCUCAAAUUUUAUUUCCAUGAAGAAGUUAGGAAGGCUGCAGUAUCAGGUAUGCCGGAGCUGUUACGUUCAGCUAAACUUGCUGUGGAGAAAGGGGAAUCUCAGGGUCGUAAUGAAUCCUAUAUAAAGCACUUGAGCGACUAUAUAAUACCGGCGUUGUUGGAGGCCUUGCACAAGGAGCCUGAAGUGGAGAUUUGUGCAAGCAUGCUGGAGUCACUAAACGAGUGUGUACAGAUUUCUGGACCCAUUCUAGAUGAAAGCCAGGUGAGGGGCAUUGUUGAGGAGACUAAGCACGCAGUAAUAGCUAGCUCAACCAGACGGAGCGAAAGAGAAGAGAGAGCUAGGGCAGAAGACUUUGAUGCAGAAGAAAGCGAGAUCCUUAAAGAAGAAAAUGAACAAGAAGAAGAAGUUUUUGAUCAGAUUGGUGAUUUACUGGGUACGUUAAUAAAAACAUUCAAGACCUCUUUCCUGCCCAUGUUUGAUGAGCUUUCAUCUUACAUAACUCCCAUGUUGGGUAGUGAUAGAACAGCAGAGGAGAGAAGAAUAGCUAUUUCUAUAUUUGAUGAUGUUGCUGAGCAUUGUCGCGAAGCAGCUCUUAAAUACUAUGAUACCUUCGUCCCUUUUCUUCUGGAAGCAUGCAAUGACGAGAAUGUUGAUAUUCGGCAGGCUGCUGUGUAUGGAAUUGGAGUUUGUGCUGAGUUUGGCGGAUCUGUUUUCAGACCUCUUGUCGGAGAGGCACUCUCCAAAUUGGAUGUUGUCAUUGCACAUCCUAAUGCACAGCAGUCUGAAAACGCCAUGGCCUAUGACAACGCUGUUUCCGCUCUUGGAAAAAUAUGUCAGUUCCACCGAGACAGUAUUGAUGCUGGAAGGAUUGUACCUGCCUGGUUAAACUGCUUACCGAUAAAAGGGGAUACAGUUGAGGCUAAAAUUGUCCAUGACCAGCUUUGCUCAAUGGUGGAGAGAUCUGAUCCGGAUCUAUUAGGGCCCAAUCAUCAGUACCUUCCAAAAAUAGUUGCAGUUUUUGCUGAGGUCUUAUGUGCGGGGAGUACUCUGGCAACGGAGCAAACAGUGAGUAGGAUGAUAAAUAUCUUAAGACAGCUUCAACAAACAUUGUCUCCAUCAGCGCUCGCAUCGACAUGGUCAUCUCUGCAACCACAGCAACAGCUUGCAUUACAGUCCAUCCUCUCCUCUUAGUUCCCUAUAUUCUUUUGCGAGCUUGGCAUGACAAUGAAGAUGAUCCAACAAAGAUACAAUGAACUUGUUCAGAGAUGUUAACCAGAUUCUCCUGCAGAAGUCGCAAAAUCUGAGUUUGCGAAGGAAUUCUGAGUUCAGAUUAUGAUCGUUACUUAUGCUCGACAUUAUUUACGUAUUAUAUACAUUUGAGUGCGUACUCAAAUCAAGUCCAUGACAAACUAUGAACAGUUUUGAAGUUAAACUAGAUGAAUCUACAUAUGCAAUCGAGCCACCGUUCUAUAUUUACGAGAUGGCCUGAACGGACCUCUUUUGCUCCUUGAUUCCUGAG